rnacentral:snoRNA from 1 species
UCUUUAUAGAGUGCAAGUCUGUUCUUCUAUCCAAGGCCGAGAGAACAAGAUGAUUGGAGUCCCAGGAUUCCUCAUUCACGGCCUCUGUAGUGAUCAGGGGUUGAAACACCCUACUCAUCCUACCUGAU